UACGUAGGAGGCGAGCGUUGUCCGGAAUUACUGGGCGUAAAGGGCGCGUAGGCGGAUAUUUAAGUUAGAGGUGAAAGCCCAGGGCUCAACCCUGGAAUAGCCUUUAAUACUGGAUAUCUUGAGUUCGGGAGAGGUGAGUGGAACUCCGAGUGUAGAGGUGAAAUUCGUAGAUAUUCGGAAGAACACCAGUGGCGAAGGCGACUCACUGGCCCGAUACUGACGCUGAGGCGCGAAAGCGUGGGGAGCAAACAGGG
rnacentral:rRNA from 1 species